rnacentral:rRNA from 1 species
UACGGGGGGGAGCAAGCGUUGUUCGGAUUUACUGGGCGUAAAGGGCGCGUAGGCGGCCAGCACAAGUCAGUUGUGAAAUCUCCGGGCUUAACUCGGAAAGGUCAACUGAUACUGUGCGACUAGAGUGCAGAAGGGGCAACUGGAAUUCUCGGUGUAGCGGUGAAAUGCGUAGAUAUCGAGAGGAACACCUGCGGCGAAGGCGGGUUGCUGGGCUGACACUGACGCUGAUGCGCGAAAGCCAGGGGAGCGAACGGG